AUUUAAAUAGUUUAAUAAAAAAAAUAUUGAUUUGUGGUGUCAAUGAUGUAGAUUUACUUUAAAUU
rnacentral:tRNA from 1 species